ACGAUACUAUACUUUGGUUAUACAUUGAAUACACUUAUUAACACAACAGUAUGACCUAAAUUCUUUCACAUGUUUUGACUUCAUGAUGGCAAUAGCGUGAGGACAAGGAAUCUCCCACAGAUGCACGAUCCACUUUCGAGGUCGACGAUGUAUCUUCUUCCAGAAUCAUAAACUGAGUAGAUAUAGGUUGAAGAAGCCUUGACCUGAAUAAAAAAAGAUUUAGUUUUUUUUGUAACUAGAUGCUUUCGACAUCCAUUUACAAUCCUUAUUAUAACAUCGGAGGACACAGCUGAAAUAGACAAUCAUAAUAUGAUUAGUAGUAAUAACAAUUUAUGAUUUUUUUUUCAUUUUGGGUCUUACAAAUCAGUUAUACAGAGAAAAAAAUUCAUAUACAACAUAAGAUAUAAAAUAUACAUUACAACUCAAUAAAGUAUAUAUAUUUCAGCCCGUCAAUCAAUUUGUGAAUGCAAACAACGCACUACCAAAAUGUUAUUCUACACAUAUACAAAACAUAGUAAAUGUAUAUGUGAAUAAUAGAAGACAUUGCUAUGUAUAUAACAUAAACUUGUUUCCCUGCAAUUUAUAAAUUUAGGACAUCAAUUAAUCCAAUUCGAAAAAAACAGACAAUUUCAUGUGCUCAACAUGAAAACAAUCUUUGCAAAAUGAAAUUUAACGUCAUUUUAAUAUUCACGCAAAUUUAAGUAAAUAAAUUUCAUAACAGAACUAAAAUACCUCUUUUUGCCUGAAAAAUUAUUUCUGUUAAAAACAAUACCUCUUUUUGUCUGAAAAAAUUGACGAAAUCAACCUAAAAAAACGUCAUUGAUCCCAUGACAAUAAUACUUAAAAGAAUAGAAAAAAAAUAAUACCUCUUUUUGUUUCGAUUCUCCAUUGACUAGAGUACCUCAAAAGAAUAACAAUAUUCAUCAUCUUGAAUUUCAAUUAAUUUAUUUUCUUCAAAACGAUCGACAAAUAGGUGUUUGAUUUUCU
rnacentral:lncRNA from 1 species